GUAUACUUGAGAGUAUAUUGGACUUGGAAACGAAAGGAAUCAGGAAUGCACGUAUGGCGGGUGUCGGGGCGCGCAGCAAUGAGAUCCAGACUCGUCGGCAGCAGCUCCAGCACCUUGGCUACCUUUAAAUACAGUCAGUCAAGGAAAAGCAGGAUAAAUGCUGUUUCCUUCCCUGUUUAUUAAUUUUUAGAAUGAUGAAUUCAUGCCACUAGUGGCCUCUAAUUCUUGUUUUUAUUUUUGGAGUGUCAUUAGGAGCUCAGGUAUUUUAAAAUAAAUGGUAUGUGUUUUAGUCUAUUGCAGUCAUUAUUCAGUUUGAUAUUAAAAUUAACACCUCUGUAGAUUCAAGUUGUUGUGUCGACAUGGCCUUUUUCAUUUUAACAAGUUAAUAUGAUUAAACUUCCUUGUUUUCUGGCACAGAAGAAUGUCCCAGGCCCACCUUAUGCAAUUCCUUCCCCAAACCUAGAACCCAACUUCCCUCCCAGGAAGCCCUUAUAUCCUUUUAAGGAGAUGAUAGGAUUUAGAGACUACAAAUCUAAGGACUGGGUAUGUUUAUUUCUACUGGGUUGUCAUUUCUUCUCUGCCUUUUUUAGUGGACAAAGCUAGGAAAUAUGUAUUUUUUUAGAAAGACAAGUCAUGAGUUUAUACUGACACUUUCACUUUUUCUUGGAUUCUUUUAUUUGUAUUUCUUACUAAUGUUGAUAUCUUGAUUCCUAACAUUAACAUAAUCACUUAUUUGCUUUGUCUUUCUACAUAUAUAACAUUUUCAAAAUAAGAUGACCAACAUGAUCACUAAUAACAGUCCUGCUGAGUGCAGUUGAAGAUGUCUUUGUGGUUCUUUUCAUUCUUAGCAUACUAUUAUGGUUAUACAGUGAAAAUACUGUAUUAUAAAAGCACUUAAAAUAGUUUUCUUUAUUUGGUCAGGCUGCCAACUUCAACCAAUUAGGUAGGUAGGUAGGCUUUUUUUUCCAGUUUGUUUUAUAGUUUUUUGGGAUUCCUUUGGGUUUUUGUUUGUUUGCUUAAUUUUGUUUUUAAUCAUGUGAAAUGUCUACAUGGUUCUAAAAGCAACGUUGUGAAACAGCACAUUCAGAGAGGUUCUAGCUUUUAUCCCUUUCCCCUCCUCUUAUUCGUUCCCUCUCUGUGUAGGUAACUGACUUUUUUUUUCUGUUGAAGAUACAAGCAAAUCUAUGUAUACAUGUAUUUACACAUGUAAAUAUUCUCUCCCCUACUUCAUAACACAAAGAAAGAUAGCAAAGUAUACACACUCUUCUGCGCCUUACUUUCUUCACUUAGUGUAGCCUAGAGAUCAUUAUUACAUAGUAGUAUAGAGUGAUCUUCUUUACGCCUUUUCACAGCUGCAUACAUUUAAUUUGUAUUUCAUUUGGAAUGUGCCUGGGUUUUUUAAGCCCCAGACUUCUUUUCUGCCAUCACAACUUGAUUCUGAUUAACUCUCCAGCCUGCUGACCCUCUUCUUUUCAAGAUAAUCAUAUCUUUGUGUCUUGCAACCUCUUCACAUCCUGUUUAUUUUUACUGUCAUGCUGUUUUAUUCAUAUUGUCCACCAGCACAGAACACCUCUCUCUCCUUUGUCUAUCUGUAUCCCCAUUCUAUCCAUUCAUUUGGCCAUGACCCAGAUCACUCUAUACCUUCUUCAAAACCUUUCUCCCUUUCUGUAGUCCACUCAGAACUCUUCCUUCUUAGAACCUUCUUUGAAAAGAAAUAUUUUACAUAUUUUAGCACUUUAUUAUUUUCUAAGGAUUCAUGUUUAACAGAUUCAGUUCCUUAAAUCAGUUUUUUAAGGGCUGAAAAUAAGAUUUUUUUGCUAUCUAUUCCCAGUGACACCUUUUAUAGUCCCUGAAAUAAUAAUCAGUAAGUGAUCAGAGGGUAUUAAAAUGAGAUAUUAGAAACAACUUCAGUGUUUAAGAAAAUCAUGUUUCUUUAGAUAUUCACAAUGAAUAAAAACAUUUCUGAUAGUUUUUCAAGAUAAUUUUUGAAUGUCAUUGAAUACUAAACUGAAAUAUUUUUAAAGUUAUAUCAAGAACAUUACCUUUAAGACACACUUAGGAAAGUCUUUUAGUCAUUUACCAUUUUUAUUUAUUUGCCAACUCUUUAGGCCUUUAACUCACAGAGCUUCUGUUCAUUUUUCUCUUUUGGUCAGGUAGCAGCUGUCUCUGACUGAUUCAAAAUGUUGCAUUAAAAUGAGCUGUACUAUUUUCACCAUUGCAUAUGUUCAUCUUUUGCUUUUGGGAAAUGACACGAUGUGAUUCAGCAUGUUAAUUUAAAUAUCACCCAAAAUGUAAUCAUUUCCAGAUCCAUUUGCUGACAUUUAAUACUAUUCACAGUUUAAAAUGUCAUAAAACUAAAUACAGUGAUAUUUGUGUCAAUGCUGAUUUUUAAAGUAAAAUAUAUAUGUUUUCUUGUUGGCAAAGUUAUUGUCUAAAUAAUACAUACUGUACACAGUAGAAUCAGGUAUAAUAUCUACAGCAUGUAAGGGCCACUUAAAAAAUCAUGAAUGAACAUUUGGUUUAGGUUUGUGCUGCAAAAGACAAUUGUCAUUGUCUUAAGUAACACUGUAAAUUUUGGUUUUAGGGCCUGUUAAUAAAAGAUUGGUUAAAACAACUCUUCCAUGGAUGUAUACAUAGAAUUGUCUGCGUAGGGUUUGAGAGUUUUUCACCUUUUGUUCUAGGGAGUAGUGAAUGCUUACAAGCUAAAGAUAGGUUUUAGUUCUAGAAAUUUCACCAAAGGAAGAAGAGUAAAUAAGUUUUAAGGUCUAAAGUAAGCUUUCCCUUCUAGUUCAGUUUUUCUGUGAGAAAAACUAAAAAUUAUCUUCCUUUAUCCCAGUUUCUUUCCUGUAUUCCUUUAGCAAGUCGUUUCCAAAAUUCUUUCCCCAAAAGCUAGCUGGCUAGUUUGCUUGCUUUUUAAAAUAUAUUUUAUAUGAAAAAAUUUCAAACAUACAGAGACUAGAAAGAAUAAUGUAAUAAAUACCAUGGAACCAUCACCUAGAUUUAACAAUUGUUACUAUUUUUAUUAUAUUGACAUCAUUUCUUCUUUUUCUGAACUAUUUUAACAUAUAUAUAGAAAUUAUGAUAUUUUACCUCUAAAUUCUUUUUUAAAAUAUUUUCCUAUGUAACAUAACAACAUUAUUACAUCUAACAAAAUUAGCAUUAAUCCUCUGUCAUCAAAUACUCAGUGCAUAAUCAGAUUUCUGUACUUAUCCUCAGAAUGUCUUUUGUAGGUUCUUUAUUCAAAUCAGAUGCAACCAAAUAAAUCUAGCAGUAUAAUUUAAUUACUAAGUAAUUUAAAUGUAAGAAUUAAAAUUCUAAAUGACUAAAAAAUUAUUACUUUUUUUAAAGCAUGGAGCCAAGUUAGUUUUGUAUUUGUCAGAGUUGAUACAUAAUCACCAAGAUGAAUUGACUGAAGAAGAGCUGGACACAGCAGAACUGCUUAUGAAUGCUUUGAAGUUAUGUGGUCACAAGUGCAUCCCUCCCAGUGCAUCAACAAAAGCAGACCUUAUUAAAAUGAUCAAAGAGGAACAAAAGAAAUAUGAAGCUGAAGAAGGAGUGAAUAAAGCUGCUUGGCAUAAAACAGUUAACAAUAAUCAACAAAGUCUCUUUCAGCGUCUGGAUUCAAAAUCAAAGGAUAUAUCUAAAAUAGCUGCAGAUAUCACCCAGGCAGUGUCUCUCUCCCAAGGAAUUGAGAGAAAAAAGGUGAUCCAGCAUAUUAGAGGAAUGUAUAAAGUAGAUUUGAGUGCCAGCAGACAUUGGCAGGAACUUAUUCAGCAACUGACACAUGAUAGAGCAGUAUGGUAUGACCCCAUCUACUAUCCAACCUCAUGGCAGUUGGAUCCAACAGAAGGGCCAAAUCGAGAGAGGAGACGUUUACAGAGAUGUUAUUUAACUAUUCCAAAUAAGUAUCUCCUUAGGGAUAGACAAAAAUCAGAAGAUGUUGUCAAACCACCACUCUCUUACCUAUUUGAAGACAAAACUCAUUCUUCUUUCUCUUCUACUGUCAAAGACAAAGCUGCAAGUGAAUCUAUAAGAGUAAAUCGAAGAUGUAUCAGUGUUGCACCAUCUAGAGAGACAGCUGGUGAAUUGUUACUAGGUAAAUGUGGAAUGUAUUUUGUGGAAGAUAAUGCUUCUGAUACAGUUGAAAGUUCGAGCCUUCAGGGAGAGUUGGAACCAGCAUCAUUUUCCUGGACAUAUGAAGAAAUUAAAGAAGUUCACAAGCGUUGGUGGCAAUUGAGAGAUAAUGCUGUAGAAAUCUUUCUAACAAAUGGCAGAACACUCCUGUUGGCAUUUGAUAACACCAAGGUUCGUGAUGAUGUAUACCACAAUAUACUCACAAAUAACCUCCCUAAUCUUUUGGAAUAUGGUAACAUCACCGCUCUGACAAAUUUAUGGUAUACUGGGCAAAUUACUAAUUUUGAAUAUUUGACUCACUUAAACAAACAUGCUGGCCGAUCCUUCAAUGAUCUCAUGCAGUAUCCUGUGUUCCCAUUUAUACUUGCUGACUACAUUAGUGAGACACUUGACCUCAAUGAUCCGUUGAUAUACAGAAAUCUCUCUAAACCUAUAGCUGUUCAGUAUAAAGAAAAAGAAGAUCGUUAUGUGGACACAUACAAGUACUUGGAGGAAGAGUACCGCAAAGGAGCCAGAGAAGAUGACCCCAUGCCUCCCGUGCAGCCCUAUCACUAUGGCUCCCACUAUUCCAACAGCGGCACUGUGCUUCACUUCCUGGUCAGGAUGCCUCCUUUCACUAAGAUGUUUUUAGCCUAUCAAGAUCAAAGUUUUGAUAUUCCAGACAGAACUUUUCAUUCUACGAAUACAACUUGGCGACUCUCGUCUUUUGAAUCUAUGACUGACGUGAAAGAACUUAUCCCAGAGUUUUUCUAUCUUCCAGAGUUCCUAGUUAACCGUGAAGGUUUUGAUUUUGGUGUGCGUCAGAAUGGUGAACGGGUUAAUCACGUCAACCUUCCCCCUUGGGCACGUAAUGAUCCUCGUCUUUUUAUCCUCAUCCAUCGGCAGGCUCUAGAGUCUGACUACGUGUCGCAGAACAUCUGUCAGUGGAUUGACUUGGUGUUUGGGUAUAAGCAAAAGGGGAAGGCUUCUGUUCAAGCAAUCAAUGUUUUUCAUCCUGCUACAUAUUUUGGAAUGGAUGUCUCUGCAGUUGAAGAUCCAGUUCAGAGACGAGCGCUAGAAACCAUGAUAAAAACCUACGGGCAGACUCCCCGUCAGCUGUUCCACACGGCCCAUGUGAGCAGACCUGGAGCCAAGCUCAAUAUUGAAGGAGAGCUUCCAGCUGCUGUGGGGUUGCUAGUGCAGUUUGCUUUCAGGGAGACCCGAGAACAGGUCAAAGAAAUCACCUAUCCGAGUCCUUUGUCAUGGAUAAAAGGCUUGAAAUGGGGGGAAUACGUGGGUUCCCCCAGUGCUCCAGUACCUGUGGUCUGCUUCAGCCAGCCCCACGGAGAAAGAUUUGGCUCUCUCCAGGCUCUGCCCACCAGAGCAAUCUGUGGUUUGUCACGGAAUUUCUGUCUUCUGAUGACAUAUAGCAAGGAACAAGGUGUGAGAAGCAUGAACAGCACAGACAUUCAGUGGUCAGCCAUCCUGAGCUGGGGAUAUGCUGAUAAUAUUUUAAGGUUGAAGAGUAAACAAAGUGAGCCUCCAAUAAACUUCAUUCAAAGUUCACAACAGUACCAGGUGACUAGUUGUGCUUGGGUGCCUGACAGUUGCCAGCUGUUUACUGGAAGCAAAUGUGGUGUCAUCACAGCCUACACAAACAGAUUUACAAGCAGCACGCCAUCAGAAAUAGAAAUGGAGACUCAGAUACAUCUCUAUGGUCACACAGAAGAGAUAACCAGCUUAUUUGUUUGCAAACCAUACAGUAUACUGAUAAGUGUGAGCAGAGAUGGAACCUGCAUCAUAUGGGAUUUAAACAGGUUAUGCUAUGUACAAAGUCUGGCGGGACACAAAAGCCCUGUCACAGCUGUCUCUGCCAGUGAAACUUCAGGUGACAUUGCUACUGUGUGUGAUUCAGCUGGCGGAGGCAGUGACCUCAGACUCUGGACGGUGAAUGGGGAUCUCGUUGGACAUGUCCACUGCAGGGAGAUCAUCUGUUCCGUGGCUUUCUCCAACCAGCCUGAGGGAAUAUCUAUCAAUGUAAUUGCUGGGGGAUUAGAAAAUGGAAUUGUAAGGUUAUGGAGCACAUGGGACUUAAAGCCUGUGAGAGAAAUUACAUUUCCCAAAUCAAAUAAGCCCAUCAUCAGCCUUACAUUUUCUUGUGAUGGCCACCAUUUGUACACAGCAAACAGUGAUGGGACCGUGAUCGCCUGGUGUCGGAAGGACCAGCAGCGCUUGAAACAGCCAAUGUUCUAUUCCUUCCUUAGCAGCUAUGCAGCCGGGUGAAUGCGAAUGAACUUCACGUUCUCCAAAGCACUUUAACUCCAAACUAGAUUUGUUGACUUCACCAGUUUUAGGAGGUUGAACCUAAAGAAAUGGAUGACUGGACAAACCAUCCAAAUAAUGAUAAAGUCUAUUCAUCUGCACAAAAUUCUGAAGAGUCACAUGAUCCUAAGAGGAAAGUUCUGUUCUAUUUUAGUGAUAAUCUAGAAGGUUGUGUCAAUAUGCACUAGCCAACAAGUUUUAAGCCUUGCAUGGUACAUUAAAAUGACAUUCUUAAAAUGUUUUCCCACCAAGGUAUUCCAAAGAAAAUAUUAAGGUCUCCCCUUUUUCUAUGAUUCCAAAAGGACCAGUAGAAUUUAAAUUGGUUGGCUAAUUGUUUAUAUAAAACACACUAAAAUUAUAUUUUAAAAGUUUUCUGCCAUGAAAUACUCCUCCCACCACACACACAUGCUCCAAAAGAGGAAAGAAAAAAAGAUAAUUUUUAGGACUUGAUAAUUGCUUUAUUUGAGAAGCAAAUUAUUCAGUAGGUGCCUCUGUACCAAAUAUUUUAUGGAAUAUCUGAAUACUAAAAAUAAACUACGAAUGAAUCUCAAAAUUAGGAAGUUUUUGCCAGUUGCCUUCUUAGCUCAAAGGAGAACCAGAAUUUUUUUGACAGCCACAAACAAGAAUACAGGUAUCUUGGAUUUCAGACACAUUCUGUUUCUUCAUAAACAUUUUACUUAAAAUCUAUAACGCUAGAUAUUGACUAUCCUUAGUUGAGUCACUGAGGUUUAAACACAAUGGUAAGUCUUAAAGUCUGCUAUUUACAGAGCACUGAAUCUGUACCAAUUUGCAAUAGAAAGCCUCCAGGAUGCAAGAAGUUUGCAUGGGUAUUAAGAAUACAGCCUAAAUAAGGCAUUUAAUCUAAUCUGCAGGAAGAAUUUUCUUCCCCAAAACAGAAUUAUAAAAGCUUACUUUAUUUUAAAUAGGAGGCAGAAGAAUUAUUUUAGGAAACCAUUUCAUUCUGUUUCUACUAACCUAUACCAUCUGAGAAUUGUAGGAAGAAUAAUAAAAGCUCAUGUAUUCCACAGCAAACUUACAUACCAUAAAGACAGGAUUCCUAAACAUCUUGGAGCCGUCUGUCUCUCCCAUAUGAUGGCUGUCUGUAUAUUUUUACUUGGGGUGCUGCUUUAUUGGCUUUGAAAACACUGUCAGAUAAGCUCAGUAAUAUGUUACCAUGGGAUAAAAAUACGUAUCCCUGCCUAAGAAUAACUUGUGCAUUUGUUAUGGAAAUUUAAUUCAUAUGGUGUUUACAGUACUACUUUUGUAACUUCCAGACUUUCUAAAACAUUCUGCUUAAAAACCAUAUAAAAUAUAAUUCCAAAGUCUCUGCUGUCAAGAUAGAUUCAAGACAAAGCAAGUGGCCACGUAUGCUUUAACCUUAAACUGCAUACACAUGUAGUGAUACCUAGGCUGCAUCUAGAUCACCGUGUGCUCAGGCCAGGUGUUAAUCCUGAGGUCCAUGGAGGUGCAGAGAUGAGAUUACUCCUAUUCACGUUGAAGUGAUUUGCUUUGUUAACAAAAAAUUGCAGCUAUUGUCUAGCUUUCAUUUUUUUACUGAGAACUUUAAAUUAGUCCCCUAUUAGAAUAGGGUUGCUACUCAGUCUUUUUUUAAAAACCGAAUUUCAUCAUUUAUCUAAAGAGAAAAUAUGCAAAAUAACUGGUCUUGUUAAGAGUGCAAUAUUAUAUUUUUAUGUAAAAAUAAAAAUUUGGGGGGAUUAUUUAUUCAGCAUGAAACCUAAUGUGUAUAUGUUUGAAAUACUUCAUAAUGUGCAUGUUGUAGCAAACAUUUCUGUAAAUUAUCACAAGCUCUGUUACCUUUAUAUACACUGCCACUUCAAUUUGGAAAUAAAUUUCAUAAAAG
rnacentral:sRNA from 1 species